CCAUCGGUGGGUCAGUGGUAGAAUGCUCGCCUGCCACGCGGGCGUUCGCCGGGUUCGAUUCCCGGCCGAUGCA